GUAGUCAUACGCUCGUCUCAAAGAUUAAGCCAUGCAUGUGUAAGUGUAAAUUGUUAAGUUUGGAACUGCGAAUGGCUCAUUAUAUCAGUUAUAGUUUAUUUGGUGAAGUGUACUACUUGGAUAACCGUAGUAAUUCUAGGGCUAAUACAUGAGAAAGUCCUCUGGUGAGGUGUGUUUAUUAGAAUGAAAACCAUAUGCUUCGGCAUGAUAGUGAGUAAUAGUAACCUAUCGUAUCGCAUGCUUAAUGUAGCGAUGAGUCUUUCAAGUUUCUGCCCUAUCAGCUUUCGAUGGUAGUAUAUGGGCCUACCAUGGCAGUAACGGGUAACGAAG
rnacentral:rRNA from 1 species